ACAUGCAAGUCGAGGGAGAAGCCUUCGGGCUGAAACCGGCGCACGGGUGCGUAACGCGUAUACAAUCUGCCUUUCACAUAGGGAUAGCCCGAAGAAAUUUGGAUUAAUACCUAAUGGUAUAUAGGAGCGGCAUCGUUUUUAUAUUAAAGCUACGGUGGUGAAAGAUGAGUAUGCGUUCUAUUAGCUAGUUGGAGAGGUAACGGCUCCCCAAGGCGACGAUAGAUAGGGGUUCUGAGAGGGAUGUCCCCCACACUGGUACUGAGAUACGGACCAGACUCCUACGGGAGGCAGCAGUGAGGAAUAUUGGACAAUGGUCGGAAGACUGAUCCAGCCAUGCCGCGUGCAGGAUGAAGGUCCUAUGGAUUGUAAACUGCUUUUGUAAGGGAAGAAUAAGGGGUACGUGUACUUUGAUGACGGUACCUUACGAAUAAGCAUCGGCUAACUCCGUGCCAGCAGCCGCGGUGAUACGGAGGAUGCGAGCGUUAUCCGGAAUCAUUGGGUUUAAAGGGUCCGUAGGUGGGCUAAUAGGUCAGAGGUGAAAGCGUUCAGCUCAACUGAGCAACUGCCUUUGAAUCUGUUAGUCUUGAAUGAUUGUGAAGUAGUUGGAAUGUGUAGUGUAGCGGUGAAAUGCUUAGAUAUUACACAGAACACCGAUAGCGAAGGCAUAUUACUAACAAUUUAUUGACGCUGAUGGACGAAAGCGUGGGGAGCGAACAGGAUUAGAUACCCUGGUAGUCCACGCUGUAAACGAUGGAUACUAGCUGUUUGGAGCAAUCUGAGUGGCUAAGCGAAAGUGAUAAGUAUCCCACCUGGGGAGUACGC
rnacentral:rRNA from 1 species